GGUGAACGCUGGCGGUAGGCCUAACACAUGCAAGUCGAACGGCAGCACAGUAAGAGCUUGCUCUUACGGGUGGCGAGUGGCGGACGGGUGAGGAAUACAUCGGAAUCUACUUUUUCGUGGGGGAUAACGUAGGGAAACUUACGCUAAUACCGCAUACGACCUACGGGUGAAAGCAGGGGAUCUUCGGACCUUGCGCGAUUGAAUGAGCCGAUGUCGGAUCAGCUAGUUGGCGGGGUAAAGGCCCACCAAGGCGACGAUCCGUAGCUGGUCUGAGAGGAUGAUCAGCCACACUGGAACUGAGACACGGUCCAGACUCCUACGGGAGGCAGCAGUGGGGAAUAUUGGACAAUGGGCGCAAGCCUGAUCCAGCCAUACCGCGUGGGUGAAGAAGGCCUUCGGGUUGUAAAGCCCUUUUGUUGGGAAAGAAAAGCAGCAGGUUAAUACCCCGCUGUUCUGACGGUACCCAAAGAAUAAGCACCGGCUAACUUCGUG
rnacentral:rRNA from 1 species